GAUGAACGCUAGCGGCAGGCUUAACACAUGCAAGUCGAGGGGUAUUGGUUUUCGGACCAAGAGACCGGCGCACGGGUGCGUAACGCGUAUGCAAUCUACCUUUUGCAGAGGGAUAGCCCAGAGAAAUUUGGAUUAAUACCUCAUAGUAUAGUACUUUGGCAUCAAGGAACUAUUAAAGUCACAACGGCAAAAGAUGAGCAUGCGUCCAUUAGCUAGUUGGUAAGGUAACGGCUUACCAAGGCUACGAUGGGUAGGGGUCCUGAGAGGGAGAUCCCCCACACUGGUACUGAGACACGGACCAGACUCCUACGGGAGGCAGCAGUGAGGAAUAUUGGACAAUGGGCGCAAGCCUGAUCCAGCCAUGCCGCGUGCAGGAAGAAGGUCCUAUGGAUUGUAAACUGCUUUUUAUACAGGAAGAAACACCUCUACGUGUAGAGACUUGACGGUACUGUAUGAAUAAGGACCGGCUAACUCCGUGCCAGCAGCCGCGGU
rnacentral:rRNA from 1 species